rnacentral:tRNA from 1 species
GCACAUUUGGCCGAGUGGUCUAAGGCGAUGGUUUUAAGCACCAUUAUCGAAAGAUGCGUGAGUUCGAACCUCACAGUGUGCA